rnacentral:rRNA from 1 species
GAGUUUGAUUCAUGGCUCAGGAUGAACGCUGGCGGCGUGCCUAAUACAUGCAAGUCGAACGAGUUCUCGUUGAUGAUCGGUGCUUGCACCGAGAUUCAACAUGGAACGAGUGGCGGACGGGUGAGUAACACGUGGGUAACCUGCCCUUAAGUGGGGGAUAACAUUUGGAAACAGAUGCUAAUACCGCAUAGAUCCAAGAACCGCAUGGUUCUUGGCUGAAAGAUGGCGUAAGCUAUCGCUUUUGGAUGGACCCGCGGCGUAUUAGCUAGUUGGUGAGGUAAUGGCUCACCAAGGCGAUGAUACGUAGCCGAACUGAGAGGUUGAUCGGCCACAUUGGGACUGAGACACGGCCCAAACUCCUACGGGAGGCAGCAGUAGGGAAUCUUCCACAAUGGACGCAAGUCUGAUGGAGCAACGCCGCGUGAGUGAAGAAGGCUUUCGGGUCGUAAAACUCUGUUGUUGGAGAAGAAUGGUCGGCAGAGUAACUGUUGUCGGCGUGACGGUAUCCAACCAGAAAGCCACGGCUAACUACGUGCCAGCAGCCGCGGUAAUACGUAGGUGGCAAGCGUUAUCCGGAUUUAUUGGGCGUAAAGCGAGCGCAGGCGGUUUUUUAAGUCUGAUGUGAAAGCCCUCGGCUUAACCGAGGAAGCGCAUCGGAAACUGGGAAACUUGAGUGCAGAAGAGGACAGUGGAACUCCAUGUGUAGCGGUGAAAUGCGUAGAUAUAUGGAAGAACACCAGUGGCGAAGGCGGCUGUCUGGUCUGUAACUGACGCUGAGGCUCGAAAGCAUGGGUAGCGAACAGGAUUAGAUACCCUGGUAGUC